GUCCCACUAUGUAACGUUUAGGAACAGAUAUGUGUAUAUUUUGUACCAAUACAUUUGAGGUAUUAAUAUGCACUGUUUAGGCUUUAUAAAUGAGUAUUGCCCCAGUGACAGCUUUUUUACUUCUUUCUGAGAGUUUCUCUCUCUCUUCAGUGAUUGGAACACCCUGAAACAGACCCAUCUCCUCGUCAGAUGUCAACAGCAGAAUUUGGCUUUAUCCUGUCGUUCACUGCUCAGACUUUUGGCCUUCGCUUCUAAGCUGUUAAAGGAGCUGAGAUUUGAGCUCAACCUCCACUUCAAAGGUGCGUCAGGGGAUUCGGAUCUCAAACCGCCUUCAUUCACUGAAUGAUACACCAUGGCGAAAUGUACUCAAUCUAACUGUUCAUAAAAGACCAGCCUGGAGAACCCUGUACAAGUCACCAUUAGUCAAAAAACCUGGGGAUUUACAGUGAAGAAUGUUACAUGGUGCUAUUGCAGUUAAU